GACGAACGCUGGCGGCGUGCUUAACACAUGCAAGUCGAGCGGUAAGGCCUUUCGGGGUACACGAGCGGCGAACGGGUGAGUAACACGUGGGUGAUCUGCCCUGCACUUCGGGAUAAGCCUGGGAAACUGGGUCUAAUACCGGAUAUGACCUCCUAUCGCAUGGUGGGUGGUGGAAAGAUUUAUCGGUGCAGGAUGGGCCCGCGGCCUAUCAGCUUGUUGGUGGGGUAAUGGCCUACCAAGGCGACGACGGGUAGCCGACCUGAGAGGGUGACCGGCCACACUGGGCCUGAGACACGGACCAGCCUCCUACGGGAGGCAGCAGUGGGGAAUAUUGCACAAUGGGCGAAAGCCUGAUGCAGCGACGCCGCGUGAGGGAUGACGGCCUUCGGGUUGUAAACCUCUUUCAGCAGGGACGAAGCGCAAGUGACGGUACCUGCAGAAGAAGCACCGGCUAACUACGUG
rnacentral:rRNA from 1 species